AAUUAUUCAUUAAAAAAAGACCAAGACCGCAAAAUUUGGGUUAGAAUCAAAGAGCCUCCAUUCCAUAUAGAGCGGGAUUAUUGGUUAAUGAAAUUUGGACCGACACCGAUAUUCAAAUCGGUAUCUUUCAUUGCUCACUAACUCUUACCUACUCCCACCCCCGAAUUCUUUCUGUGGGAAUCCUAAAUAAAUAAAAAAAAAAAAGAUCCCAUUUUACGGAAUGCUAGACU
rnacentral:lncRNA from 1 species